rnacentral:lncRNA from 1 species
GAAUUGAAGAUACAGAGAUAAAUAAUAGAACAACAAGAGCUCUCAAUAUAACUCUUCAAAUACGAGAGACAACUUAUGAAAAUUAGUUGGUUCUAUACUUGUUGUAUACAUGAACAUCUUAUUAUUCAAUUAAUAUUCCUUAAAAAGAAUGAAACAUUAGUCCAGUAGACAAUACAACAAUGCAUAUUAUCUUUUGGAAUAAAAUACAUUUUUCUUGUUGGUAAUGAAACAAACCAAUCUUGGUGCUACAAAAUUAAUUUAGCCUUUAUAAGAGCUAAUAUACUGUUAACCUAUGUUCAACGUGGUUGUUACAACCAAUUUCGGCCUGGCCAACAAAAUAUAACAAAACCCAAAACAAUAAAAAAGAGUCCAAAAUAAAUAGCCCAUUUACAAUAUUAAAUAGCCCAAUUUACAUCAAACCCUAGCCCAAAUAAUAGCCAACUUGCUUAAGAUUUUUCAGCAGCAAACCCUUCCCCAAGAUGCAGCAGCCGCUCAGCCCCCACGUGCGCCGCCUCGCUUUCUCACCAGCCAACCACCGGCUUUUCACACCUCUGACACCUGCAAUCAAAUCCAACACAACAACAGAGAGCAUGCAGAAGAAAUAAAUAGCUAAAGAACAAAAAACAUGGAACGAACGGUUUGUAAAUUGGCUUUUAAAAGCCAAAAUCUAUCAUUUGUAAUCGGUUACGAACACUGGAAAUAAAAAAAAAAACACAAAAGGUUGAUAUCUGAUUCUUCUCUCUUUAUUUUCAUUUCGUUUCUUUUUAUUUCUCUAAUAUUUCUUUUGAUUUUAAUACAAAUCUAUUAAAUAAAAGUAGACAUAAAACAAAAAUAAUGAGGGAAGAAGGCCUUACCGGAAUCGCUCGUCGUCUCGUCGCCGGAGGGUUUUCCUUCGUCGUCGGGAUCGGGCCGAAUAAGGAGGGGAAGACUUUUUCUUUCGCAACUUUUGGGCUGAGAAGGCUCAGCCUUCGGGGACGCCUUGAAACAGGGCUUAAAGCCCGCCCUCGCGCGUCGUCGGCCGUCGUGUUCAAUGGCGGUGCGGCAGUGGGACGAUGCCUUUCUUGGUCGGCCAAACAAAAGGCUACAAGGAAGGAGAGAAAGGCUGCUUUUUUUUUUUCUUCUUUUUUAAAAACCUAAGGCUAAAAUGAAACAAGCACAAAAUUUGGCCUUUUAUCAGGCUACAAAAUGGUACCGUUUAGAAAGGGGAGGGGUCCGCAUGUCUCCCUUGAAUGGGAAAUUGCCCACUUUGGCCCCUCCCCCUUUUCUGACCCUUGAUUUGAUCAUGAUUUGCGUUUUUUUUAUCCUUUCAAAUAGCGCCCAAUUAUUUUAUUUCAUUGCUAAUUUGGUCCCUGACCUAGACAAAUUAAACGUUGCGCAUAAGGGGUUGGGGAAAAUUUCCCAACCAAUCCCUUGAGGUUUCGGCACGUUUUAAAUAAAUCUAUUACCCUUCUUUUCCUUUCUGAAUUCUCCCUUUAAUUUUAUUUAGAUUUUAAUUUAGUCUUUUUAAUAUUCACAUUUAUUUUAUUCGAAUUUGGACCCUUAAUUUUCAUUUUCAUUUGUAAUUUCACCCUUUUUUUCAUAUCAAUCUAGACCUUUCUUUUAUUUAUUUAUCUUAAACUAUUUUCAUUUACCUUAAACUUGAUAUAUUAUACUGUUUUAAAUUGUCUUAGAUAUAUAUUAUUUCAAAUUAUUUCAUAUACUUUAAAUUGCUUUAUCCAUUAUUUAUUUUAAAUCCGUUAAAUGUAUUAUUCAUCCUAAAUUGUUUUAUUAUGUAUUCUAAAAUUUUCCUUUUUUCUCUAUUAUUACUUCCAAAUUUCUAUAUGUGUUAUCCAUUUUUAUAUAUACCCUUUUUAAAUGUUUUGUAUGUUACUUAUUUUAAAUUUCUAUCUACAUAAUAUUCAUUUUUGACUUAUUUUUAUUAUUCAUCAUAAACUAUCUUAUAUAUUAUCUAUUUUAUACUGUUUUGGUUUUACAUAUCAUUUUGAAUUAUUAUACACAUGUUAAUCGUUUUACAUUGCUUUUCAUUUAUUUAUUUUAGACCUUUUUAUAUAUAAUUUUUGAAUUACUUAUUAUUUUAAAUUUAUAUAAUGUUUAUUCUUAAACUGCCUUUUUGUAUAGGGCAUUUAUUUUCAAACUUUCAUAUGUUUUAAUCUUAAACUCUUUGUACAUUGUUUAUUUUUUUAUGCAUGUAUUUAUGAUAAGUUUUUAUACUAUGUAUAUUAUUUAUUUUGAACUUCUUUUUAUGUAUUAUGAUUUUAAACUUUUCAUUAAUGAUUUUAGAUUUUUUUUACCUACUUUAAGCUGCCUUUAUAGUAUUUAUUUUAAAAUCCUUUAUGUAUAUAUAUAUUUUAUAUUUAAGAUUAUCUAUUUGUUUGAUUUAAAUCAUUUUAUAUUAUUACCUCAUUUCUGUGUUUAUUAAGCUUGUUAUUUAAUUGACAUGUGUUAAGUUAUUGCCAUUGUGUGUGUUAUAAUUCGUUUAUUCAUAUUUCCACUAUUUUCAUUUGCUCGCGUAAUACUUUAUUCAUGUAUCAUCACUCUAUGUCGCAUCAUAUUUUUAUUUUUCAUUAUCGCCUUAUGAAUUAAAUUUCGCUACAUUUAUCCAAUAAAUCGCUUAGUUUUAACCUAAACAAAUGACGUACAUCGUUUAAAUACUACCUUUGCUACUAUUCAAAAACUAGAAUUUCAAAGUAAGGCAAUGUUUCGCAUUUUGGAACAUCCGGGAAUUGUGCCCUAACUUACGGGGUUUCAAUUUUCUCAUUGUUUCUAAAUGGCAAAUAUCCUUUUCAAGUUUUAAAACACAUGAAUUUCCAAUUAAAAGUAAAGACGACCUUGUGCUCGGGAGUUCAUGGUAUUGUGUCCUAACUUACGGGAUGUGAUACUCCGAUAUCUUGAGAUAAGGAAAUCUUUAAACAAUUGAUUUAAGCUAAUUCAAGAAUUUUAAAAUCAAUAUUAAUAGAAAAGAUCGCAUUUCAAAUUCAUUUUCGAUUUUCGACAUUAAGACACUAACUAAUCAAUUCGGUACCAAUUUUUGGGCGUGUCGGGGGCGCUAAUCCUUCCUCACACGUAACCGACUCCCGAACUUGUUCUCUUGAAAUUCGUAGACCAAAAUGCCGUUUUAGUAAAAUAAAAUUGUUUUAUUAGAACAAAGGUGAUCUGAUCACACCAAAUAAAGAUCGGUGGCGACUCCCGUUUUAAUUUUCGUUUUCAAACUAAGUCGAUUCCCGUUUUCAAAAAUGGUUUCGAUAGUGGUAAUGAAACAUGUUAAUUUUUCGUAGUACAAAGUUAAUUCAAGGCUCCAGAAGAGUUAAUGCAUUGUUAUCUAAAGAAACAAAGUGAUAACUAAUAUAUCAUGUUCUAGCCAGUCUCAAAGAAAUUAUGUUUUAAAAGGAUAUACGUUGUAACAUAUACCAUAUUGAGAUUAUGAGUGAGGAAACAAUUGAUUUCUAUAUAUUACAUCUAUUAUAUUGGGUAAGAAUUUUGUAUUGGAAAAUUACUUUCUUUCCUCUAGUUUAUGUUAGACAUAUAUUAGUAUGGUUAAAUCACAUGAGAUGGUAAACCAAAAGUUACUAGAAGUUUACAUUAGUAUUGUUGAAUUACGUGCAUAGUAAACCAAAAGUUUACUAGUCCAAAUACGUUAAUUAGUUGACAUGAUCGGUUAGACCAUCGUGAUUAAUAAUGAUGUGAAAAAAUGAGAAUUUACAUAAAAAUUUAUUAAAGAACCUGAAGAUUCUUUAUUUUAAAGAUUUUUUAAGUGUUUAUUAGAACCUCACUAACAAAAGUUGAUAUUGAAUCUUUAGUGUUUUUGAAAGAAAUAAAAGCCCAUUUUUCCAACAAGUGAAUGUUUUGAUAUAAUUUUAGAUGCACUUACAAGUUAAUCACAUGUGAGUUAUCAACUCGUAACCUGUAAUUUGCGAAAUUACUUGUUUAAUGAUUUGUUUACGAAAAAACUUUUAGAUUACGCAAUCGAGACAAUUCUUACUAAUGUUGGUAAUUUUAUUACACAGGCUUUCAAUUAUUAUCAUAUGUUAGCUUAUUAGUGUGAGUAACUAUUGCAAAAUGUUAUUGUUUAUACAUAUGAAAUGGUUUAGCAAAAUUAAUGAUUAAAUGCCUCCGAUUAAUAGCUAAACCAUUACUUUUGAAAACGAAACUCUUUGUAUAUAUGUAUAAGGAUAUGAUAUUUUACAUGAAUCGGUACUUGUACGUAUAAUGCCAAUAAGUUAUGAUAAAUAUUUCCAAUAUAAUUAACUUUAGGUCAGGAGCUAAAUAUAACCCAUUAAAUUUUGUUGUGUAUGAUGUAUGUUCAAGUUGUUUCGCCGCAAGGCACAAAAUGAUAUUUAAAGAAAGUUGGGAAUAUAUAUUAAUUAUGAAUCUCCUUAUAUUAUUAGAUGUUUUGAUCAAAUUGAAGAUUCAAUUAUGAUAUGACUUGGUGAUUAUUAUCUUGAUUUAACAGUUUUUUCAACAUUAGGGGAGAGAAAUAAUAAUUGGAUCAAAUAAUUACUUGAAAUGGAUUACUGUUAUUUUUAUCAUCAUAGAAAGUAAUUUAAACCAGAAGUUCAAGAAGAUAAUUCAUUUUAUUACAACUUAAUUGUCAAAUGCAUUUACUGACUUGAUGAAAAUAAUCAAGUGUUAUAUAUCAACUAAUGUUUUGAUUUGAGUUGAAGUCCAGUAGGACAACUUGUUAGAGUAAUUGAAGGUAAUGCAUGCUCAAAACAUGGUAGUUCAAUUGGUUUCAAAUAUGAAAAUUCUUAUAAUAAAAAUAAAUAAAUCUAGAUGAUCAUAUAGUGAAGAUGGUGCUCCUGAAGUGACUUAAGACAUAACUAAUUAUUAGAACUCUAGAAGAGAUUCAAGUACCUAAAAUUGAAGAUGAAAAUAGUGAAAAUAAUGAAAUUUUAAUAAGUUAUGUCAAAACGAUAAAAUAUGGAACCGUGAAAAAUGAAAAGUUGUUAAUAACGUUUUUUGCAAUCUUGAAAUAAUGAGAGAUAAAUGGGAUUUUGAAUAAAUUUGUCAAGAAAUACAAGAUAUGAAAUAUAUUGGUCAAAAUGAAAAAAACACAAUUAAAGUAGAAUUAAAUUCGUGAAGUUUCUGGACCGGUAGUCCAAAUGUCUAAAUGUAUAAAGUUAGUGGAGUACAAAUGAAUAGUUUUGUGAAAAUAAAAUAAGAAAAUGAAGUUUUUUUUUAAAGUCCUAGCAAUGAUUAUGAAAAUAUAUUCUUUUGUUGUGGAUGUAGUAACCUUUAAAUAUAUCAUUAGUUUGGCAGUUUAUAAAAUUUUUAGCAUGUGUCUUAUGAUUGUUGUUAUAAUAUUUAUAUGAAUCACUAUAUAGAGGAAGUUUAUAUUAAAAUCCUUUAAGGAUUUAGAAUGUUGGAAGCAUAUAUAAAUUCUUGAGAAAUUGUUCAAUACAAUUUUGUAAAUACUUAUAUGAAUUGAUUUGAACAUGUAUAUUAGUAUAGAUAAUUAUGAUAAAAGUUUUGCUAUGAUUAUUGUCAAGAAGAAAUUAAAAUAUAUUUUCUCAAAAUUUUUUCCCACUCAUGAGAUUCAGAAUAAUGAUGAUAUAAAUAUUUUGCAAAAUCGUUUAAGUAAUUUUUGAAAAGCUAGGUAAAAUUUAAACAUUCUACUUUUUUUUUCAUUUUCUUUUUUUUACAAAAUUAAUAAAUAAAAAUACUUUCUCUUUUACCCACUCAAUUUCUUAACAAAAAUGAUAUAGUAACAUUUUAUAAUAAAUAAAUGAUUACCCAACAUUCUACAUCCAUAACAGAAUUUAACCCCAUUAAUGUCGAAAUAUAGCUUAAAAGAAAAUAUAUUCCUAGAAAUAACUUCUCCUCAAACCCAUGAAUCAUGAUGGUAACUUUUCUUUUUUCUGGUUAAUAGAACCCAUGUUGGUAUUUAAUUUUAGAUUUUGUUAUAUUCAAAUAAAAGUUGCCCAGUUGAAUGAAUUUUAUCAAAGACUUUCGUAUUUUUUUUUAAAUAAAAAGAAUAUCAUGAAUUUAAAGUGAACGUAAAUUAAGGAGAAAAUUUUGGACUUUGGAGAGGAUUUACACUGUAAAAACAAGCGUCCCUCGCACUCUUCUUCUCUCUCUGACUUUGUUGUAAGCAAUUCUGUAGCACUUUUGUCGUUUGAUUAUAUAUCCCAUAGUCGAAGCUGUCGUUUUAUGAUCAGACUCCGCCAUUGACGACUCAAAAAAGAAGUAUCCUUUCUUGAUGAUCCAACUGGUAAAACAACGAGAAAAAGUUAAACCCUUCCUUUUUUACCUUCUUUUCAUCGGAACUCUCAGUUGUCUUUUUUCCUUGCAAAAUUUCUUCCUUUUUUUUUAAAAAAAAUUGUUACUAUUUCCCUAGUGCUGAAUCUUAUCUUUCUUUGCAUUUUUCUAAAUUUUCUUUCUUUUUUCUCGUAUUGCCAUCUAAUAGUUACCUCGAUUUUGUGUUGCUCUCUUUGGCAAUGCUCACCAUUUUCCUGCUAGAUCAACUUUUCACCAUAAUUUGUUGGCUGAUUUUAAGAAGUUCAGUUACAAAAUUCCUUUUUUCUGACUCAAAUGUCUUCAUUUAACUUAACUAGAUAUAAACCUCAUAAUUCAUCUGUGUUCUGUUCGUAUAUUUAAUAUAUAUUUUUUAUAAAUUGUGGGAUGUUAACAAUUCGAACCAUAUAGAUUUUUGUUCAUGUAUCGUGUUGUGUUUCUAGUUUCUUUCUAAAUUAUGUUGUGUUAGACAGAAAAGAGUGGUGGCAUUGACAGAGUAGUUCGGUGCUUCAGUUUGAAUUACAUUUCAUGGCUUAGGUUUUGGAACCCUUUUUCUUUUUUGUUAUGUGUAUAUUGCAUGAUUUGUGCUCAUUUUCCAGUCUUUUCCGUUUUGCAGGAUGAUCGAGCCUUGCGAUAUAUGCGGUGAUAUAGGCUUUGUAGAGGAUAUCGUAACUUGCUUUGAGUGCAAAUUUGCAAGGGAACACGGGUGCGGUUAUUCUUACCUCUUGCCUUACGUUUGGUUUCACUUGAACUGCUCGCCUUUUUGUUUUAAAUUCUGCUUUUUGAUUACCAUGUUUAUCGUUAAAUUUUACGAACACGGUUAUUUUGGAAACCUCAGUUUAGGUCCCCGAGAUUGAUCACUAACAUUGAAGUAUACCCUGUUUUCUCGUCCCCCCCCCCUCCCCCCUGCUUUCAGCUAUUGCAUGCGCGAAGUUCUCUUGACUAUCCCCGAAAUUUGGUUCUGUGAAGAGUGUAGGUUAAGCAAGGCCAUACUUCCCGAGUCUGUUACAGAGGAAGAUGUUCCUAUGUCUUCCACUUCAAUUACUUCUGAAAGUGUCUGUACCAGCCCGCUUUCGCACAAACCAGUUGAUCAAGAAAAUGAAAAGGCUUCAAAAUCAAACACCUCUGAGACUUUGAAUCCAGAAGCGUUACUUGAGAAUCAAAAGAUAUUAGGUUCUGCUUGUAAGCAAGGGGCUGCUACAGUUGGGAAUGUGAAGAAGUCAUCAGUUUCAACAAAAUCUGAACAUUUAGUGAGAAAUUUGGUAUCAGGUCUUGAUCAUUUGAGUACCAUGGAAACUGCAUCGAAGAGCAGUCCAACAAGGUUGAAAGUUGCUUCUGCAAAGGCAUCCAUAAAGAAAUUUAAAGCAAGUCAUGAUCAUAGAAAAGUACGACAUAGCGGUUCAAAGGUCUGCUCGACGACCCCACAGAAAGCAAUCCAAACAUCAAAAACUUUAAAAGGUGAGAAAGCGCUUUGCAUGCAUUUGUUGAUGAUUGAAGCAUUUAUUGAAACUGACAAUUGAAUCUGCAUAUUCAUAUUUAGUUCCUAUGCAUUAUUUAUAUUCAAACCUUGAUUUUCGUUUGAUCAUAUUGCCUAUAAUACAUUAUAUCACUUAUGGUUCUUAGUCAAUGAAAAGAUGCAGUUUGUUCUAAAUUGAAUCAAUUCAUGAACGGUGCUUCCUUUAAUUUCGUGUGCGUUAAUAGAUAUCUUAUAUACCUAAUAGUCUAAUGUGGCUACUCUUAUGAUUUCUGUUUUGGAUGAAGAAACUUCUGCUACAUAUGAAAAAGAGACACAUGAUACUAAUGUGCUCAGUGAAAAGAUCGAAACCUCACUUUCACAACAAAGGGAUGGUGAGGAUGUCUCUCCUGAGGGAUCAGCUAGCUUACCUGUAAAUACGAUAGCGAGCACUUUAACCAAGUCAGAUCUAGAAAAGAUAGCUAUGGAGUAUCACAUAGACACUAAUAGGUACCAUCUUUCUCUUCCUAAAUCAUCCGAGAGAGCAAAUUCGUAUUUCCCAUGUAAACACACAUUUUGCAUCUAUGCUGAUGCCUUUAAGGCCGGGCUUCGUCUUCCUCUUCAUCCUCUAAUUUCGGAGAUCCUCAGUGAGUUCAGUGUUGCUCCUACUCAGAUUCCUCCAAACUCGUGGAGGGUACUGAUUUGUUUUAUUUCUUUCUGUUAUUCUCAAAAAAUAACUCCUACGGUGAACCUCUUUCGUGCAAUCUGCUCUCUCAAAGAUCACUCUGGGGAGAGCAACAAGGGGUGGUGGUUCUUUAGUGCUCGGAUUGGAUUCAAGCUGUUUGAGGGUUUUCCGAGCUCCAUCAAGGGAUGGAGGCAUAGGUUUUUUAUAAUUCGAACAUCUGAGAGAGACACAUUAGGCCUUAACACGAAGUGGGGCCCUCCCAAUAGUGCGGCAAAUCAGUUGCCAACUCUUUCAGCUAUCGAGGUCAAAUCACUGGAUAACCUUGUAGCUGCAGCGACCAACAACCCACCUGACAUUAGAGUUUUGUUAUCGGAAGAGGCCUUGAUUCAAGCUGGAAUCAGUUCAACAAUACUAAAACCGAAGGGGUCCAAUGGUGGUAUGGUCGAUAUACUCAACUCCAUUAUUUUCCUUAAUGUUUUUAUUUGAGUUCAUGCUCUUGUUUUCUUUUGAUUUAGAGAUAAAGCAGCGUCAUAGCUUGUCUCAAUCCGGUCUAGUGAGGGCCUUACAGAGAAAAAGAGCUGCCACAGAGUCUGGGAAAAGCGCUUUGUCUAAUCUUCCUUGUCAAGAGCCAAUCUUAAUAUAUGUCGAUCAGGAGGAUCUGCCUGAAAGCAAGAGGUCAAAGGAAUCUCUGCAACCUAUGGAACAAACCGAUUUAUUGCAACCUAAAGAGCUAACGAACCGGUCACAAGAGAUUUCCCCUCCUGUGACCUCUCCUGCUCAAGAUAUGCCUCAUGAAGGCCUUCCUCUACAAGCUUCCCCAGAGUCUAAUAUCCGGCACAUUGCAGGAGUGUCAGUUCCUGCAGUUAGCUCGGUUUACUUCAAUACUGCAACAGACAACCUCCCCCCUUCAAAUGCUGAAGUGAGGCAGACAGGAUCCGUGGAGUACACUAUGGAGCAAUCAGUUUUCACUCAUCCUGCUCUUGCAAGGACGCUGAUCAGCCAAAUGGUUCUUCCGCACGACUGUGAUUCGGUGGCUCAGAAGGAUACUUUGGUCAUGGCUCAGGAGCUUAUGUGCCUAGCAAUGGAGGUAAGUCUUGUUCUUCCCAUUUUUAGUAGACGAAGCAAUAUUAAACACGGCAAGGAAGUGAUAAAUAAAACACGAAAUGGCAUGAAAAAACUAAUAUGAACAUGACAUGAAUACACAAUUGCUUCAAAAUCUAGGUAAUAUGAAUUAUUAGCAUAUCAAAAUUUAUAUUUAUAUAACAGUGCGAUUAUGACACAACAAAAUACAUGAAUUGGCGGGGUUUAAUUUUGGAUGCUUGGUUGCUGAUGGGCAGGACGCGACCUGGAAAAUGGCAGUGUCUGAAAAGUUGAUCAAGAUGCAACAUGAGGUCAACAUGUUGAAGGAAGAAAGGAAUGCAUUAAGAGCAGAGCUUGAAUCGCAGAAGAUGGCGGUGACUGAGUGUGAGUCGACAAGGAAAACGACACUGGAGCUCCAAAGGUUGGAGGAGGAGGUUGAACGGCUCGAGAUCAGGUUAAAGGAGACUGAGGAAAAAGCCUGGACAUGGGAGGAUCAGUUCAUUAAGCUAGAGAGGAGGUUGAAACAGGCUGAGGACCGGGCAGCAUCAGCUGAAAGAAAAGUUGUUGUGGCCGACGAAAAAUGGCGGCAGUCUGAAAUGACAAAGUCGAGGGUUGCUGAGGAGACACUUAAGAAUUUCAAGGCUUCCGACGAAUUCCGGCAUGAAGUUGAGGAUUAUCACGCUGAAGCCUACGGCAUGGGGUUAAAUGUCGCCAUCGAGAAGAUCAAGAGGCAAUUUCCAAAUCUAGAUCUAUCGAUUAUCAAUUUUUAUUCCGAGGAUUAAUGAGGAGCCUAUUGAGCUGUGACAGAUUUUCCAGGUUAAUCAUCGUAAACGUACCCCCUAGUCUCGAUCUGUUUGGGGCCAUUUAUUAGAAAUCUACUUAAUUUGUAACUAAGGAAACCUUUAGCAAUGAAGAACUUUAUGACCCAUUUAGUUCAUCCUAAUAAAAUAUAGGAUUGUAAUGGAGUAGUCAUUAUUUGAUAAUGGAAUAUAAUGGAAUUAAAUAGACAUAACAGGUUGAAAUUAAUAGAUAUGUAAUAGCAAAUAAAAACCAACUCUGAAUGUCGAAAUGCCCUUUAAUAAAUUAAAUUAAAUUUUUAUUUUUUAUAAAAGUAUUAAAAAAUCAAAAGUUUUAAAUAUUAAAAUGAUAAUUUUAUCCUUAGAUUAAAUUUAAUUAAUAAGAUAUAAUAUAAAAUAUUUACAUAAAAAUUAAAACAUUAUUAUAUAAAUUAUUCUUGUGUUUAUUUUAUCCUCACCCCUCUCAUUUAAUCACUUUAUAAUUUGUUUUUAAAAGGGAAUAAGAAACACCGGUUGUAUGCACUGAAGGACAAGCUUCAUCAACACAACAAAUGUUUUAGCCUCAACAUCAAUAGAACAUUAUGACAUGUUGACAAUUGGCUCUGUCAUAACUCAAGCACAACAUAUCAAGAAUGAUUGUAAGCACUUAAUACAAAAAAUAAAUCAGCCCCGGAUGGUCCAAAAAGGAGGGCAUAAAUUGGCAAAAGAACCGAGCCUUCACUAAACUAAAGAGGACGUCGACAAAAUCAACCCUAAAAUCACUCACAAAAGCAAGACUAAAAAGCGUACUACAAGAGUAGACAAAAACUUCUAAAAGUGAAGACUUAUUAAAUAAUGGAAAAACAAAAGAAAAAAAAUAUAAAACUUAGAUAACACGAGUACAAACCGGCUCAUAAAAUCAUUUAGUAUUCUAAAGUACUCUCAAAACAGAAAUAGAUUAAGAAGUCAAUACGAGUACAAACCGGCUCAUAAAAUCAUUUAUUAUUCUGAAAUACUCUCAAAACAGAAAUAGAUUAAGAAGUUAAUAAAGAGCUACCCACUUUCUAAAAGAAAUUGCCGGUGGUUGAUAGUGUUUCAACGAUAAUAGGCACCGCCAUCUGUCCGUUACAACUUAUAAAGAUAACAAAGAUACCCAUCUAAUAGAUCUAUAAACUAAAAAUAGAGAAAGCGCAUAGAGUGAAUGUGAAGGCUAACACCGCUAUUGGACAAAAGCAAAAAGAUAAGAAACAAACAACUUGAUUUAAUCACUUUAUAAUUAAUUUACUAUUAUUUAUUGUUUAAUCUAUAUUAAAAAUAAUACAAUAUAUAAAAUUUUUGUAUAGAGUAUAAAAGAAUCAUUUAAUGGGUAAAUCCAUACCCAUUUCUUCUCUUCUUCAAUUUACUCUCUCCCUUAACCCCUCUCCCCUCUCUCGUAACAAUAUCAUAAAUUUUGAGAAACCCAAAUCAAAGUUAUCAAAUAUUUAAACAUAUUUUCCAAUCUUUAAGAUUAGGAUUUGAAACUCAACUUUCUACAACCAAAAAGCAAUCUUGAUGUCUGCAAAUUUUUUUCUCCCCAAUUUGGUUCAACGAAAUGAGUUGAAGCAAAAAGAAGAAUGAAACUAAAACUUCUCCAAAAAUAGUGAAAGAAAAGUGAUUCAACUUGUAAAUUCAUUAUUUUUUGAAGGGAACGUUGGGAAGAAAUAUUUUUAAUCUAUUCAUGGUUUUACCUAAUAACCAAUUUAGCAUCUUUUCUCCUGAAUGGCCAUUCAGCAACUUUUCAGAAUAAUUUUGAAAUAAUUUAUUCAACGUUUUUAACAUUCGUUGAACUAAACAUAUGUUUUACUGUUUAAUUUUGAACCGUCCCAUGAUAAUAAUACUAUUACAUUAAACCAAACAUACUCUUACCACAAAUCCAUGUUACAUGUUCUUAUCUUACUGUGUUCAAUAUUUCAGUGUUUUUAGAGUUUCUACAGCAUAUUAUGAAACUUAAAAUUCAAGUCGAAAGCACUCUUAGGUCCAUGCAACUGAGUAGUGUUAGGCUCACGACUCACGAGUUCUAUGUCCCUUGAAGUUGGAUGUGUCGGCUCGAAAUGAGCAUUUAUUAUUAUUAUUAUUAUUAUUAUUCCUAUAGUUUUUUUUUUUUAGAAAAAAUUACAACUCAAAAAUUAAACAUUAAAUAAACUUGAAACAUUAUCCUGGUCAAUCAACCGCAAUCCUGGUUUCCUAUCUAUUUUGAUCUUAACUAUUUUAUCUGCAAUUUCAUUCUUUUUUCUUGGGAUAUGUUGAAGAUUACAGUGACUUAGUAACUUUAAACUCAAAAAAAUUCUCGUAAUUAAGGCAAAAUUAAAACCUUCUCGAAUUUCUUCAUGAAUAAUGUUAACCGCUUCAAAAUUAUCUGUCUGAAUAUGUGUUGAAAUAUCAUAGGUUAUUCCCUUAACUUUGCAUUUAUUUUCUAACACAAAUGUACACCUAGUUGACGAUGUAAUUCAUGUUCAAUGAUUAAGAAAUUGAAUUAAACUGUUGUUGCUGAUUCUAUCCAAUAUUAAUAGUUUGAUUAUCCAAUAAAUAUAUAAAAUUGAAUAAUUAGCAAAGUCAUAAAGCAAAAUAAAUUGAUUAUUAAAAUUCAUUUUAUUAGUAUUUAAAUUUAGCCUCUAAAAUUUAUGAUAAAACAGCAUGGUACCAUGGAAAGUAAUCACUCCUAAGAAUUUAAUUGGUGGAACGUUGGAUAUAUAUUAGAAAUGUAACUCUUCCUGUUUGGUUGAUGAAAAGUUGAAAUAUGACAUGUGAUUCCAAUAUUUGAUAAAAAAAUAAUUUAUUUUCUUUUAGGCAAGCAAAAAAAAUGAUUUCUUUGAUAAUUAAUUAGAAUUAUACCGUAAAAAUAAUCACAUUCCCAAAAGUCACAUUUCAUUAAAAUUUUACCAUAAAAAUUGUACCAAACACAAAUGCAUAUUUCUAUUUAAUAGUUAAUAUAUAUAAUAUCUAAUUAUAUACAAUAUCAAUACAUAAUUAUAUUAUGAAGUAUAUGUUAGAUUAAGUUAACAAAGGAAAAGUAUAAUUAGUAUUGGCACAUUUUAAGAAAGGACUAAAUUGGAAAGAAAUUAAAUUAAAUAUAUGAUAAAUAAAAUUAUGAUGCAAAAAAUAUGUGGUUGCAAUGUAUGCAGACUUCGAAGCUAAAAAUGAUUAGUAACCCUGUCCAAGUUCCAAAACUAUGAAUGAGGUAUUUAUACAUUUUUUUUUAAAUCAUAAAAUUACUUUAAAAUAUUUUGGAAAAAGAACCUAAGAUUCUUUAAUUGAAAUUUUAAUAAAAGAAUAUAAAAUUUUUAGAAUGAGAUUUGAUAUCAUAUGGAAUCUCGAUAAAAUCAGAAAAGAAAGCAAGAGUUAGAGACUGUAACUAAAAAUUUAAUGUGACAUUCUUUAUUCGUAUUUGUUAAAAAUCGGAUAUGGAGUGUUACAUUAGACAUAAAUUUUAGGUUGAAUUACACAUUUAAUCCCUAUAUUUUUUUCUUUUAAAGCAAUUUAAUUCUUUUUCUUUUCUUUUCUUUUAUUUUAACACUCACUUUCAUUUCUUUUUUUUUCCUUUUUUUUUCUUAAAUUUUCUCUUUUCUUUUUCAUUACAAAAUAUUUAUAAAAUAAAGGAGAUCAACUUAAUUUGUUGAUUGAUAUUAUUAUAUUUUAAACUAGGCAUGAAUUAUAGUAAACUACUCAAGCCCAAUCAAUAAAAUUAAACCUAAAUACAAUUUCUAAAAAUUGGAAUCCCUAACAAAAUUUAAUUCAUCUAAAAGAUAAAUAUGAAACCUUAAAAAUAAUAUUGUUAGAAGAAAUUAUCACGAAUCCCAAAUAUAAAUUAUAAAAUAAACAUGAAAAAGUUAGAAUAAACUCAUAUUAUACGCAAAAAAAUAUAUUGUUCUCUUACCUUUUAUCAAUUCCCAUUACUUGGUUUUUUUGUUGGGGUUUCACUUUUCUCUGAAGCCUCAUCUCUUACAAAUUAACUCAACCAUUGGCUAUGAAUUUUUUGUUCAUUGGUGAUGAGCAAAACCGACCGUGUUAGGUUUAGUGGUUUAAUUGGUUAGAAAACGUGUUUGAAAAAUGUAGCAAAAAAUAAGUUUAAGGAAAAAAUUAGAGUUUUAAAUUUUUUUUCUAAAAAUAAGAAUUUGGUUGUGAUAUUUAAAAUAAUAAACACUUAAUUAAAAUUAUAUUUUUUCAAUUCGUUUAAGAUUAACGCUUCUAUCCUUAAGUUCACCUCUGCCGAGUGUGGGCUCGCUUCGAAUCAGAAAAAUUUUUCACAAAAUUGCUAGUGAGGUAAUUUCACAAAUUUUCUAACUUCCAGGCCAAGUUAUAAAUAAAAUAUAUCUAUAAAAAUCUUUUAAAAUAAUUUUUUUUAGAGAAUUUUCUCUCUACAACUUUCUCUUGAAUUUAAGUCUAUGAAAAAUAAUUACCGAAAACUCUCUUAAUAUAGGGGGAGUUUAGAGAGUUCAAUUAGGAUCAAACUUAAUUACUUUAAUAUUAAUUUAAUAUAAUAUUUAUCUUGAUAAGUAUUAGAUUAAAUUUAAUAUUAAAAUAAUAAUUUUAAUAUCAAAUUAAUAAAAUACUAUCAAGAUAAGUAUUAUAUUAAUUUAAUAUUAAAUUUAUUAAAAUAUUAUUAUUUUUGUAAUAGUUAAUCUGAAAUCAAAUUAUUCGGUAGAGCCUCAAUAGAAGUAUAAUUCUUCUGCUACUCAACCGUCGGAGAACCACUAUCGCCAACUACUGAAAUAUCAUCGUUGUAGCCGUUGGCACCGUUGUGCCUGAUGUUGUCAUCGCAGGUGCAACACCCUCAUGACACCCCGAGUCAGUUUGGAUUUUGUUGGUUUGAUUUGAGCCAAUGACGGUUCGAUCGGUCCGGUUCAGCCACUGGUUGAACCACCUGCCCAGUUCACAUACAUUGAGCUUGGUUCGACCAAUUUUGGGUUUCGAUCUCAAUUUUUUAUUCUCGAUUCCAAUUUCGAUCUUAAGUCUAAUUUUAAAGUUCAAUUAUCCAUUGGGCCAAUUGUUUGACUUAGAAAAUUAAUUUUCAAAAUAUUAUAUUUAUUUUAAUUAAUUUGAUUAAUUUAAUUUUUAUUGAUCAAAAUUAAUUUUCCCAAAAAUCACUAAAAGUUUAUAAAAUUGAUUUUUCAAGAUAAUUCUUUAAUCAAAAUUUCUAGUUAAACAAUUUUCAUGACCAACCAAUUUAAUUUCAUAUAAAUUAAAUCGACUCAAUUAAAUUAGUUCCAAAUUCAUAUAAUUUUCUUUUGAUUUAAAUUUAGUCUGAUCGAGUUUUUGUUGAGCUAAUGGAGAGACCAAUCAAAUAUAUACAAUUAAGCUCUUGUAAUUGUAAUUAUGUUCAGCAGUAUCGUUUCGAUAAUUCACAAUUUACUUAAUAUGGAGUCAGUCCACAAAAAGUAUAAUAAUUGAAAACUCCUUAUUGUAUACUUUUAGGAAAGCAAUUCAUCCAAUUGUUUUGUCUAAUGACCUCAUAAUGUGUGUGUCACCCUUAUAUGAUAUUCUUAAUUCAUUUGAGCUAAAUCCGUUCAAUUAGUACAAUCCUAUUUUUUCUCAUUGUCACUAUUGUAUCUUUUUAAUGAUUAAUAUGAUCGCUGUCAACAAAUGAUUAUGAUAAAUUGCUCAUUUGAGAACAAGUGUAAUGGCCUAAAUUCAAGGUUAUCGGAACAAUAGUUUCGUAACCAUAGAUCCGAUUUAAAGAGAAAUUUAUUUUAAUAUUUUUGCUUGAAAAUUUAUAUGAUAGGAAAAUUUUAUCGAUUUAGUGAUUAGUUAGAAAAAAAAAUUAUUGAAGAAAUUGGGUAAAAUAAGGUAUCGGGACCUCUAUCUCGUAAAACCGAGUCAAAAAUAAUUUUAUAAAUAUUUAUGAAAUGUUAUUAAUGUGGUAUUAAAAUUUCGUUAGGAAAUUUUAAUGUUUGGGUAGUCAAUUAAAUGAAAAGGACUGAAUUGUAAUAGGUGUAAAAGUUGCUAGAGUGAUUAAAUAGCUUAUUAGUCUAAAGAUAAAGGAUUUAAAAGGCAAUUAGACCCAAAAGUUAUUUGGGCUAGACGGCAAGGGUAUGAAAUCAGCAGAAAAAUUGAUAAAUUAAGGGUAAAAUUGGAAUAUUGCAAAAUUAACUAAAUAAAACUAGGACUAAAUAGGAAAUAUCUAGAUUUCUCUUCAUUUCUCUUCAAUUCCAGCAGCUAAAAACGCCAUAGGAGGGUUCUCUAAGCUGGUAUUUCAUAAUUUUUGUACCAAGUGAGUUAAUCCUUGCCUUUUUCUUGUAAUUUUUGUGUUUCUAAGACUUUUACAACUAGAUCCUACUAUUAAAUUCAUUAGUUUUUGAUUUCAUGGAUGAAAUUUAAAGUCCCCAUGGUUGAGUGCUGUAAGUUUAUGAUGAAAUAGAAUGAAAUUAAAGCUUUAAUUUGUUUAUGAGAUGAUUUUAUUAGGCAAUUUCAAUGGAAAUUGAUUUUUGGGACCUAAUUGUGAAAAUGUUUGGAAUUAAAGUCUAUUGCUGAAAUUCUGAUUCCUAAAGGUUGUAAACUAGUUUAAGGUGAUAGAAUAAAAUGUUAAUUGAGAAAAAUAAGCUCAAUUGAGAGGCUAAUUGAGUAGGGACGAAAUUAUCAUUUAUUAAAAGCUUAGGGGAAAAAUAGUAAUAAACAGCUUGCACUAAAACAGUUUGGACAGCAGCAGUAGAUUAACUUUGAAAAAUCACCAAAAAUUGUAGGAAUCGAAUUAGAAGAUGAAAAAAAAUAUGGAAUUAAAACUUAUUGAGUCUAGUUUCUCAUAGAAGAAAUAUUGUAAGCAAUGGAUUUGUAGAUUUUGAGAUAUAAUGAAUUUUGUGAGACAAUGUUAGAAUGAAUUCGAGUUUCCCUGUUCUGAAUUUGAAAAAUUAUAAAAAAUUGAAUAAAAAUAAUUAGGGACUUAAAUUUAUAUUUCUAGAAUUCUGAAUGAGUCUAUUUUUAAUAGAAACAAACAAGAACAUCAUUUGAAUUCUGUAUAAAGAGAUAACGUAUUUUUAGUGAAGAAGGGUCAGAACUGUUAGACAAUAGAACAGGGGUGACUUUAAAGAAUAAACUGUACUUAUUGGAUAAACUAAAAAUUCUGAAAUUUUUAUGGUAAAAAUAUAUAUGAGUCUAGUUUUAUGGAAAAUUAACGGAUCUUAAUUUGGAGAUCCGUAGCUCAAGUUAUAAAUAAUUUAGUGACUAUGACUCAAGUAGACAGCUUUGAAUGAACUAUAAAUAAUAGUUGAAUUAUAAAGAAUGUUGCAUAUGAACAUGAAAUGUAUUAAAUUGAUAAUUAAAUUUAUUUAUUUAGAUCCGGAAGAUUCAAAUACGAAGCUAGAUCGAGGAAAGGAAAAAGUUCGGGAUUAGUAGAUUUUUACUGUUUACAAACAAGUAUCAAGGUAAGUUCAUGUAACUUGAAUUAUAUUCUUAAAUGCUUGAGAUUGUAUGUUAUUUAUGUGAAUAUGAUUUGAAUGUUCAUUGUAUGAAAAUUUAUGAAACAUUGAUAUAUUUGAUAAAACGGGAAGAAAUCCCAUUUGAAUGAAAGGAAAAUUCGAUGGAUCUCUGAAAAGGAAUUGACGGUAAAAAGGAUCUAGCCCGGACGGGUGAUCCUAUCCUGAUAUAGCCCUCCCGAAGAAUAUGUGUAAAAUGGAUUUAGCCCGGACGGGUAAUCCGAAUUAGGGUCUGAAUUUAGCCUGGACUGGUAAUUCAGAUCCAAGCUCAUUAGAGUAAUUAUCGUUACAGGGGAUUUAGCCUGGACUGGUAAUCCCGACAAUACUCUAUGAGUUUAUAUUGCAGGGGAUUUAGCCUGGACUGGUAAUCCCGCUGCAAGGUUGAGGUUCGCGGGAGUGUGCUCUCUGAAAUGGAAAUGUGCGCACAUGAAUAUGAAUUGACGGACCCGGAAUUGUACACUAAAAGUGUACCUCUGAAAAUCCAUCGAAAUUCCAAUAAAUUCAACGGGAUAAAUAUGGAAAAAUAACAAGGAAAUGGAAAUCAUGGUAUUGACGAGCUCAUCAAUCAUCGUAUAUAUAUUAUUGAUACAUGGAAAUUAUUGUACUAACUUGAAUGUUGAGUUUGUGCAUGUUAGGGUAAUAAUGUAUUGAAUGGAUAUAUGAAUGUUUAUUAUAUUGUAUUGAAAAUAUUUGGUAAGUAUAACUCUUGUUAUAUGAGCUUACUAAGCACAAAGUGCUUACCCUGUUUCCUUUUUCCCUGUUUUGUAGUGUUAAGAGCUCGGAGGUCGGAUUUGGUCGGAGAUACAUCACACUGUCAACCUCAGGAUUUCGGUAUAUAAAGAAACUUUAUUUUGGAAAUCAAUGGCAUGUAUAAGCUAACAAAGUAAAUGUUAACGUGAAAUGAAUGUAAAGUUAGCCAUUAGUAUGGUUAACAAACCUGGUUAUAGAUAAGUGAUGACGUUAUCUUAUAUAAAUGCAUGAAUCUAUCAUGAAAAUAUGUUGAAUUGAAAAAAAAAUUAAUUCGUAAACUCCGGUAAUGCCUCGUACCUUAUUCCGGCAAUGAAUACGGGUAGGGGUAUUACAUUUAUUGGUAUCAGAGCUACGGUUUAGCCGGUUCUAGGACUGAUGUAGCAAAUACAGGAUUAGCUAUACAUGCCAUUUAAAUUAUUAUUGAUAGUGUGAUAUCUCCUGACCAUUUAAAAUGUGUUUUUCUUAUAGUAAUGUCAUCCGACCGAGCUCAAUCUGAGGAAGCUAGGAGUCAUGCUCCGGCUUCAGUACAAAGAGAAGAAACUAGUAGUAGAAGGCCCGAGACAGAGGGUCGAGGGGAGGAGGCAAAAACAGCCUUCUUUCAAAUGAUGAAUGAAUUGUUUAAUCAAUACUUAAGAACUAACCCUGUAGUGCAGCAAGUUCAAGCUCCCCCUCCUGCUCCUUCACCGGUUCCCGAGAUCCCACAAGGUACAGGUACUGAAUCUGUCAAAAAAAGGGAAAGCUCCAGUAGAUAAAAUUCGAAAAUAUGGGGCCGAAGAAUUUCGAGCAGCAAUUGAUGAUGAUUCCGAACGGGCUGAAUUCUGGUUAGAAAAUACUACUCGGGUUCUGGAAGAAUUAUCUUGUACACCAGAAGAAUGUUUGAAAUGUGCCGUCUCACUGCUAAAAGAUACAGCUUACCAUUGGUGGAAUACUAAAGCUUCAGUUGUUCCGAAAGAAGAAAUUACAUGGGAAUUCUUUCAGACCGAGUUCAGAAAAAAAUAUAUCAGCCCGAGGUUCCUUGACCAGAAAAGAAAAGAAUUUCUUGAGCUAAAACAGGGCAAUAGAUCAGUAUCUGAAUAUGAAAGAGAAUUUGUUUGAUUGAGUAAAUAUGCUCGAGAAUGGGUACAGUCAGAAGUUGAAAUGUGUAAACGAUUCGAAGAAGGGUUGAAUGAAGACAUUAAGUUACUGAUCGGAAUUCUUGAAAUUCGAGAGUUUGCUACAUUGGCAGAGAGAGCUUAUAAAGCAGAAGAAUUGAGCAAAGAAAAGAAACAGGCUGAGAGGGAAGCUCGAAUUUUUAGUAAAAGACCGAUGGGAAAAUCCCAGUUUUCUGCUUCAAAGAAAUUGAAGAAAUAUCAGGAUCGUUCUACUUCAGCCAUUGGGUAUUCGGGCAAAGAACGAGGUUCUCUACGCACUAAUCCAAGGCCUUCUACUCCAUCAGUGACCAAUGUUGGCAGUGUUGGCACUCCUAAACCGAGAUGCCAGUACUGUAAUAAAGCUCAUUUUGGUGAAUGCCGAUUUAAGAGUGGGGCUUGUUACCGAUGUGGUUCUUUUGACCAUUUCCUCAGAGAUUGUCCUAAAAGGGUUGAAAAAGAAGUUGAACAUAUAUCGAAGCCGAGUAAUCUAGUUUCGAGGGGCAGACCACGUUCCAUAUUUAUCAAUCAACACAAUGUCAAUGAGAGGAUAUGUUAACUCUUUAAAUGAGCUAUGAAUUCCAUUAUUACUAGUAAAGUCAUGUCAUACACAAGUCAUGUACCCAACAUACCUGCUAUGCGCUUGAUCAUCUUUUGAGCAUAAGUCACCACUUAUAUCAAAACACAUGAGUUAUAUACGCAUGAUCAGUUACUAACUCAGGAUUUAGAUAAAUCACACCAUGAAUAUGACAAGUGAAUUAAUUCACAAACAGAUUCAAGAUUAAUUCAACUUGGGUUUAAUCCAAUGUAUCAUUCUUCCUAUGAAUAUAUCUAUAUCUCUACCCAUGGAGUCAAAUGUUAUGAUAGCCAAUACUAGCCAACUCCCCAAUUGGAAUUAUAGGCAACAUAAUAAUUCUUUUAAGUAUUUAAAUCAAAUACUCACUUUUAUUCUUUUACGAGAUUAAUGACAUGUUUAAAUUCUUUGCUGAAGUAAGUUGUCUUUCUCGCAAUGUAAACGUUCUUACAAUGCCACUUAUCAUCAGUUUGAACUUAGAUAACCAAUGAACUAAUAUUUAUUUGUCACAAUUAUGCUAUGUGUAAUACCCCCUACCUGUAUUCAUUGUCGGAAUAGGGUACGAGGUAUUACCGGAGUUUACGAAUUUAUUUAUUAUUAUUUUUUUUAGGAAAACUCAAUAUAAUCCCUUUACAGAUAUCAAAUCUUCCCUGCAAUAUUAUAUCGAGACCAAUCCAAAUCAACCAAUCCAAUUCAACAUAUUUUCAAGGUAAAUUCAUGCAUAUUUAUAAAAUAACGUCAUCACAUACCCAAAAUCAGGUUUGUUAACCAUACCAAUGGCUAACUCUACAUUCAUUUCACAGAAUCAUUUACUUUAUUAGCUUAUACAUGCCAUUGAUUUCCAAAAUAAAGUUUCUUUAUAUACCGAAGUCCUGAGGUUGAUAGUGUGAUGUGUCUCCAACCAAAUCUGACCUCCGAGCUCUUAACACUACAAAACAGGGAAAAAAGAAAUGGGGUAAGCACUUUGUGCUUAGCAAGCUCAUGUAACAAGAAUUAUACUUACCUAAUAUUUUCAAUACAAUACAAUAAACAUUCCUAUAUCCAUUCAAUGCAUUAUUACCCUAAUAUGCACAAACUCAACAUUCAAGUUAGUACAAUAAUUUCCAUGUACCAAUAAUAUAUACUAUGAUUGAUGAUUGAUGUGUUCAUCCAAUACCAUGAUUUCCAUUUCCUUGUUAUUUUUCCAUAUUUAUCCCGUUGAAUUUAUCGGAAUUUCGAUGGAUUUUUAGAGGUACACUUUUAGUGUACAAUUCCGGUUCCGUAAAUUCAUAUUCAUGUGCGCACAUAUCCAUUUCAGAUAGCACACUCCCGCGAACCUCAACCUUGCAGCGGGAUUACCAGUCCAGGCUAAAUCCCCUGCAAUAUAAACUCAUAGAGUAUUGUCGGGAUUACCAGUCCAGGCUAAAUCCCCUGUAACGACAAUUACUCUAAUGAGCUUGGAUUUGAAUUACCAGUCCAGGCUAAAUUCAGACCCUAAUUCGGAUUACCCGUCCGGGCUAAAUCCAUUUUACACAUAUUCUUCGGGAGGGCUACAUCAAGAUAGGAUCACCCGUCCGGGCUAGAUCCUUUUUACCGUCAAUUCCUUUUUAGAAAUCCAUCGAAUUUUCCUUUCAUUCAACCGGGAUUUCUUCCCAUUUUAUCAAAUAUAUCAAUGUUUCAUAAAGUUCCAUAUAAUGAACAUUCAAAUCAUAUUCAUAUCAAAAACAUACAAUCUCAAGCAUUUAAGAAUAUAAUUCAAGUUACACGAACUUACCUUGAUACUUGUUUGUAAACAAAAAAAAUCUACUAAUCCCGAACUUUUUCCUUUCCUCGAUCUAGCUUCGUAUUUGAAUCUUCUGGAUCUAAAUAAAUAAAUUUAAUUAUCAAUUUAAUACAUUUCAUGUUCAUAUGCAACAUUCUCUAUAAUUCAACUAUUAUAAAUAGUUCAUUCAAAGCUGUCUACUUGAGUCAUAGUCAUUAAAUUAUUUUUAUCUUGAGAUACAGAACACCAAAUUAGGAUCCGAUAAUUUUUCCUGAAACUAGACUCACAUAUGUUGUUACCAUAAAAUUUUAAGAAUUUUUGGUUUAUCCAAUCAGUACAGUUUAUUCUUUAAAGUCACUCUUGUUCUGCUGUUGACAGUUCUGACACUUCUUCACUAAAAAUUAAUUAUCUCUUCAUAAAGAAUUCAAAUGAUGUUCUCGUUUGUUUCUAUUAAAAAUAUACUCAUUAAGGAUUCUAUAAAUAUAAAUUUAAGCCCCUAAUUGUUUUUCUUAAAUUUUUUAUGAUUUUUCAAAUUCAGAAUAGGGGAAUCCGAAUUCAUUCUGACCUUGUCUCAGAAAAUUCAUUAUAUCUCAAAAUUUACAAAUCCAUUGCUUACACUAUUUCUUCUAUGAGAAACUAGACUCAAUAAGCUUUAAUACCUUAUUUUUUUCAUCUUCUAAUUAGAUUUCUACAAUUUAUGGUGAUUUUUCAAAGUUAGUCUACUGCUGCAGUCCAAACUGUUUUUGUGCAAGCUGUUUAUUACCAUUUUUCCCCUAAGCUUUUAAUAAAUGAUAAUUUCGUCCCUACUCAAUUAGCCUCUCAAUUGAACUGAUUUUCCUCAAUUAAUAUUUUAUUCUAUCACCUUAAACUAGUUUAAAACCUUUAGGAAUCAUAAUUUCAGCAGUAGACUUUAAUUCCAAGCAUUUUCACAAUUAGGUCCUAAAAAUCAAUUUCUAUUGAAAUUACCUAAUAAAAUCAUAUCAUAAAACAAAUUAAAGCUUUAAUUUCAUUCUAUUUCAUCAUAAACUUACAGCACUCAACCAUGGUGACUUUCAAUUUCAUCCAUGAAAUCAAAAACUAAUGAAUUUAAUAGUAGGACCUAGUUGUAAAAGUCUUAGAAACACAAAAAUUGCAAGAAAAAGGCAAGGAUUAACUUACUUGGUGCAAAAAUUAUGAAAUACCAGCUUAUAAAACCCUCAUAUGGCGUUUUUAGCUGCUGUAAUUGAAGAGAAAUGAAGAUAAAUCUAAAUAUUUCCUAUUUAGUCCUAGCUUUAUUUAGUGAAUUUUGCAAUAUUCCGAUUUUACCCUUAAUUUAUCAAUUUUUCUGCUGAUUUCAUACCCUUACAGUCCAGCCCAAAUAACUUUUGGGUAUAAUUUCCUUUUAAAUCCUUUCUCAUUAGACUCUUAAGCUAUUUAAUCAUUCUAGCAACUUUUACACCUAUUACAAUUUAGUCCUUUUCAUUUAAUGGACUACCCAAACAUUAAAAUUUCCUAACGAAAUUUUAAUACCACACUAAUAACAUUUCAUAAAUAUUUAUAAAAUUAUUUUCGACUCGGUUUUACAAGAUAGAGGUCCUGAUAUCUUGUUUUUACCCAAUUUCUUCAAUAAUUUCUUUUUCUAACUAACCACUAAAUCGGUAAAAUUUUUCUAUCAAUAUUUUCAUAUGAUUUUCCUAUCAUAUCAAUUUUCAUGUAAAAAUAUUGAAAUAAAUUUCUCUUUAAAUCAGAUUUGUGGUUACGAAACCAUUGUUUCGAUAACCUUGAAUUUAGGCCAUUACAACUCUCCCCCCUUUUAGGAUUUUCGUCCUCGAAAAUCUUACCAGUAAAGAGAUUUGGGUAUUGUUUCCUUAUUGCCUCCUCUGGUUCCCAUGUCACUUCCUCAAUCCCAUGCUUUUGCCACAAUACUUUCACCAAAUUUAUAUUUUUAUUUCAAAGCUAUUUUGUCUCCCGUGCCAAUAUCUUGACCGGUUCUUCACUGUAAGUCAUAUCCGAUUGAAUCUCUACUUCUGUUGGAGAAAUAACAUGUGAAUGAUCUGAUUGAUAUCGUCGUAACAUAGAUACAUGAAAAACAUUAUGGAUUCUAUCAAGUUCCGGUGGUAAUGCCAAUCGAUAAGCGACCGGUCCAAUUCUUUCUAUGAUUUCAUAACGUCCGAUAAAUCUUGGACUCAGUUUACCCUUUCGACCGAAUCGGAGGACUUUCUUCCAAGGAGACACUUUCAGGAAUACCUUGUCACCGACUUGAAAUUCAAUCUCUUUUUGUUUAAGGUCGGCAUAUGAUUUUUGACGAUCGAAAGCUGCUUUUAGACUAUCCCGAAUAACCUUUACUUUUUCUUCUGUUUCCCGAAUCAAAUCAACCCCAUGUAUCUUCCUUUCACUAAGCUCUGUCCAAUAUAACGGUGUUCUACAUUUUCUACCAUACAAAGCUUCAUACGGAGCCAUUUUAAUACUAGACUGAUAACUGUUAUUGUAAGCAAAUUCAAUCAAAGGUAGAUACCUCUCCCAAUUACCUUCAAACUCUAGUAUACAACAUCGGAGCAUAUCUUUCAAUACUUGAAUUACACGCUCAGAUUGACCAUCUGUCUGAGGAUGAAAUGCAGUGCUGAAAUACAACUGAGUACCCAAGGCUUCUUGCAAUUUGUCCCAGAAACGAGACGUAAAUCGGGGAUCUCUAUAUGAUAUAAUGGAGACAGGCACUCCAUGUAGCCUGACAAUCUCAGAUAUGUACAGUUCAGCUAGUUUAUCUAAAGAAUAAUCCAUACGUACUGGAAUAAAGUGACCUGACUUUGUUAAUCGGUCAACAAUCACCUAAAUAGUAUUUUUUUUCCUCGGAGACAAAGGUAACCCCGAUACAAAAUCCAUAGUGAUUCUUUCCCAUUUCCAUUCUAGUAUAGUAAUUGGCUGAAGUAACCCCGAAGGUACCUGAUGUUCAGCUUUAACUUGCUGACAUAUGAAACACCUUGAUACAAACUCAGAGAUAUCACGUUUCAUUCCCGACCACCAGUACAUCUUUUUCAUAUCAUUAUACAUUUUAUUACUCCCCGGAUGUACAGACAUAAUACCGCUGUGAGCCUCGCGUAGAAUCUUCUGUAUGAGCUCUGAAUUCUGAGGUACACAUACCAUACCUUUGAAUAAUAAACAACCAUUAGAACCAAUCUGAAAUUCAGAAUCGUUACCUGACUCACACUGUGCCCGUUUAACUUGUAACUUAUCAUCAUUCUUCUGAGCUUCACAUAUUUGCUGUAAAAAUGUCGAUUUAGCUCUUAAUUCUGCUAGGAUUGAACCAUCAUUAGUAAAUGAUAACCGGGUAUUCAUAGCUCGUAAAGCAAACAGAUAUUUUCGGCUCAAAGCAUCAGCUACAACAUUAGCUUUACCCGGAUGGUAAUCAAUAAUCAAAUCAUAGUCCUUUAUCAGUUCAAGCCACCUGCGCUGUCUCAAAUUCAAAUAUUUCUGUGUCAUCAAAUAUUUCAAGCUUUUAUGAUCAGUAUAAAUAUGACAUUUCUCACCGUACAAGUAAUGCCGCCAUAUCUUCAGUGCAAAUACAAUAGCAGCUAAUUCAAGAUCAUGUACUGGGUAAUUUCUUUCAUGUGGUUUAAGUUGUCUUGAAGUAUAGGCUAUUACUUUACCUUCUUGCAUCAAAACACAACCUAAACCAUUUAAUGAGGCAUCACUGUAAAUAACAAAUUCCUUACUCGGUUCAGGCUGCACUAAUACAGGUGCUUUCGUUAAUAGGUCUUUCAAUCGGUUGAAACUUUGUUGACAUUCAUCAAUCCACUCGAACUUUACAUCUUUCUGCAAUAAUCGAGUCAUUGGAGAAGCUAUCAUAGAGAAUCCCUGUACAAAUCUCCGAUAAUAACCAGCUAAACCUAAGAAACUUCUAACUUCAGAUACAUUCUUCAGUGGAUUCCAAUUGACAAAAACUGAUAUUUUACUUGGAUCUACCCUGAUGCCUUCGGCAGAUACAAUGUGUCCAAGAAAACCUACUUCUCGGAGCCAAAAUUCACAUUUACUGAAUUUAGCAUAUAACUGCUUCUCUCGUAGAAUUUGCAACACAAUUCUCAAAUGUUCUGCAUAUUCUUCUUCAUCCCGAGAAUAAACCAAAAUAUCAUCAAUGAAUACUACUACAAAUCUGUCUAAGUACGGUCUGAAUAUCCAGUUCAUUAAAUCCAUGGUUCUAAAGGCUAUUUUUGGCACAUCUGACUUCUUUACCCGUAACUGAUAAUAACCUGAUCGAAGAUCAAUCUUUGAAAACAUAGUAGCACCUUUCAACUGAUCAAAUAAAUCAUCAAUCCGGGGUAACGGGUACUUAUUCUUUAUGGUUACUUUAUUAAGUUGCCGGUAGUCGAUACACAAUCUCAAAGACUUGUCUUUCUUUUUCAUAAACAGAAUCGGAGCACCCCAAGGUGAAUGAUUGGGUCGAAUAAAACCUCUAUCAACAAGCUCUUGCAACUGUGUCUUUAACUCUUUUAAUUCUGUAGGAGCCAUCCGAUACGGAGCUAUAGAAAUCGGAGUAGUUCCUGAAAUCAAAUCUAUAGAAAAUUCCAUUUUUCUUUCUAGUGGCAAUCCUGGUAAUUCCUCUGGAAACACAUCGGGAAAUUCACAUACCACUGGAACUGCCUGUAUUUUUGACUUAGAUACUUUGGUGUUAAGUACAUAAGCCAAGUAAGCAUCAUACCCUUUUUUGACAUACCUCUGUGCUGCCAUUACUGAAAUCAUAUCAGAUAACCCCUCUGUCUGAUCAGAUUUAACCCGGAGCAACUCACCAUUCUGACAUUUUAGCACAAUAUAUUUUUGUCUACAAUUUACUACUGCAUCAUGCUGGGUUAACCAAUCCAUGCCCAAUAUCACGUCAAAUUCAUCAAAUGGCAGUAACAUCAAAUCAGCCGGGAAACAAUAACCUCUUACUAUCAGUGGACAAUUUUUACAAAUUUUAUCCACCAACACAGACUGGCCCAGGGGGUUCGAGACUUUAACCACAAAUUCAGUAGGUUCAACAGAUAAAUUUUUAAUAAUUGCAAGUUUAACACAUAUAUAUAAAUGCGUAGAACCAGGAUCAAUCAAUGCAGUAAUAUCAGUAUCAAGUAAAGAAAAUAUACCAGUAAUAACAUCAGGUGCUGAGGCAUCUUUUCUGGCACGAAUGGCAUAUGUCCUAGCAGGUGCUCGUGCCUCAGGCCUACCUACAGUAUCUUUUGUAGCUCCUCGACUACCACUGACAUUACCAGAUGGUCAAGGUGGUCUACCUCUCAAAACUGGAUUACUCAGCUUUGAUAUCUGUUCAGCUUCUUUUUCACCCAUUUCUGGACAAUCUCUGUGGAAAUGGUCAAAAGAACCACAUCGGUAACAAGCCCCGCUCUUUAAUCGACAUUCACCAAAAUGAGCUUUACUACAGUACUUGCAUCUCGGUUUAGGAGUGCCAACACUGCCAACACUGGUCACUGAUGGAGUAAAAGGCCUUGGAUUAGUGCGUUGAGAACCUCGCUCUCUGCCCGAAUACCUAAUGACUGAAGUAGAACAAUCCUGAUACUUCUUCAAUUUCUUUGAAGCAGAAAACUGGGAUUUUCCCAUCGGUCUUUUACUAAAAAUUCGAGCUUCCCUCUCAGCCUAUUUCUUUUCUUUGCUCAAUUCUUCUGCUUUAUAAGCUCUCUCUGCCAAUGUAGCAAUCUCUCAAAUUUUAAGAAUUCUAAUCAGUAGUUUAAUGUCUUCAUUCAACCCUUCUUCGAAUCGUUUGCACAUUUCAGCUUCUGACUGUACCCAUUCUCGAGCAUAUUUACUUAAUCGAACAAAUUCUCUUUCAUACUCAGAUACUGAUCUGUUACCCUGUUUCAACUCAAGAAAUUCUUUUCUCUUCUGAUCGAGAAACCUCUGACUGAUAUAUUUUUUUCUGAACUCGGUCUGAAAGAAUUCCCAUGUAAUUUCUUCUUUCGGAACAACUGAAGCUUUAGUAUUCCACUAAUGGUAAGCUGUGUCUUUUAGCAGUGAGACGGCAUAUUUCAGACAUUCUUCUGGUGUUCAAGAUAAUUCCUCUAGAACCCGAGUAGUGUUUUCUAACCAGAAUUCAGCCCGUUCGGAAUCAUCAUCAACUGCUGUUCGAAAUUCUUCGGCCCCAUAUUUUCGAAUUUUAUCUACUGGAGCUUUCUCUUUUCUGACAGAUUCAGUACCUAUACCUUGUGGGAUCUCGGGAACCGGUGGAGGAGCAGGAGGGGGAGCUUGAACUUGCUGCACUACAGGGUUAGUUCUUAAGUAUUGAUUAAACCAUUCAUUCAUCAUUUGAAAGAAGGUUGUUUUUGCCUCCUCCCCUCGACCCUCUGUCUCGGGCCUUCUACUGCUAGUUUCUUCUCUUUGUACUGAAGCCGGAGCAUGACUCACAGCUUCCUCAGAUUGAGCUCGGUCGGAUGACAUUACUAUAAGAAAAACACAUUUUAAAUGGUCAGGAGAUAUCACACUAUCAAUAAUAAUUUAAAUUGCAUGUAUAGCUAAUCCCGUAUUUGCUACAUCGGUCUUAGAACCGGCUAAACCAUAGCUCUGAUACCAACAAAUGUAAUACCCCCUACCCGUAUUCAUUGCCGGAAUAGGAUACGAGGUAUUACCGGAGUUUACGAAUUUAUUUAUUUAUUUAUUUUUUAGGAAAACUCAAUAUAAUCCCUUUACAGAUAUUUAAUCUUCCCUGAAAUAUUAUAUCGAGACCAAUCCAAAUCAACCAAUUCAAUUCAACAUAUUUUCAAGAUAAAUUCAUGCAUAUUUAUAAAAUAACGUCAUCACAUACCCAAAACCAGGUUUGUUAACCAUACCAAUGGCUAACUCUACAUUCAUUUCACAGAAUCAUUUACUUUAUUAGCUUAUACAUGCCAUUGAUUUCCAAAAUAAAGUUUCUUUAUAUACCGAAGUCCUGAGGUUGAUAGUGUGAUGUGUCUCCAACCAAAUCCGACCUCCGAGCUCUUAACACUACAAAACAGGGAAAAAAGAAAUGGGGUAAGCACUUUGUGCUUAGCAAGCUCAUGUAACAAGAAUUAUACUUACCUAAUAUUUUCAAUACAAUACAAUAAACAUUCCUAUAUCCAUUCAAUGCAUUAUUACCCUAAUAUGCACAAACUCAACAUUCAAGUUAGUACAAUAAUUUCCAUGUACCAAUAAUAUAUACUAUGAUUGAUGAUUGAUGUGUUCAUCCAAUACCAUGAUUUCCAUUUCCUUGUUAUUUUUCCAUAUUUAUCCCGUUGAAUUUAUCGGAAUUUCGAUGGAUUUUUAGAGGUACACUUUUAGUGUACAAUUCCGGUUCCGUAAAUUCAUAUUCAUGUGCGCACAUAUCCAUUUCAGAUAGCACACUCCCGCGAACCUCAACCUUGCAGCGGGAUUACCAGUCCAGGCUAAAUCCCCUGCAAUAUAAACUCAUAGAGUAUUGUCGGGAUUACUAGUCCAGGCUAAAUCCCCUGUAACGACAAUUACUCUAAUGAGCUUGGAUUUGAAUUACCAGUCCAGGCUAAAUUCAGACCCUAAUUCGGAUUACCCGUCCGGGCUAAAUCCAUUUUACACAUAUUCUUCGGGAGGGCUACAUCAAGAUAGGAUCACCCGUCCGGGUUAGAUCCUUUUUACCGUCAAUUCCUUUUUAGAAAUCCAUCGAAUUUUCCUUUCAUUCAACCGGGAUUUCUUCCCAUUUUAUCAAAUAUAUCAAUGUUUCAUAAAGUUCCAUAUAAUGAACAUUCAAAUCAUAUUCAUAUCAAAAACAUACAAUCUCAAGCAUUUAAGAAUAUAAUUCAAGUUACACGAACUUACCUUGAUACUUGUUUGUAAACAAAAAAAAUCUACUAAUCCCGAACUUUUUCCUUUCCUCGAUCUAGCUUCGUAUUUGAAUCUUCUGGAUCUAAAUAAAUAAAUUUAAUUAUCAAUUUAAUACAUUUCAUGUUCAUAUGCAACAUUCUCUAUAAUUCAACUAUUAUUUAUAGUUCAUUCAAAGCUGUCUACUUGAAUCAUAGUCACUAAAUUAUUUUUAUCUUGAGAUACAGAACUCCAAAUUAGGAUCUGAUAAUUUUCCCUGAAAUUAGACUCAGAUAUCUUCUUACCAUAAAAUUUUCAGAAUUUUUAGUUUAGCCAAUCAGUACAGUUUAUUCUUUAAAAUCACCCCUGUUCUGCUGUCGACAGUUCUGACCCUUCUUCAAUAAAAAUUAAUUAUCUCUUCAUAAAGAAUUCAAAUGAUGUUCUCGUUUGUUUCUAUUAAAAAUAUACUCAUUAAGGAUUCUAUAAAUAUAAAUUUAAGCCCCUAAUUGUUUUUCUUAAAUUUUUUAUGAUUUUUCAAAUUCAGAACAGGGGAAUCUGAAUUCAUUCUGACAUUGUCUCACAAAAUUCAUUAUAUCUCAAAAUUUACAAAUCUAUUGCUUACACUAUUUCUUCUAUGAGAAACUAGACUCAAUAAGAUUUAAUUCCAUAUUUUUUUCAUCUUCUAAUUAUAUUUAUACAAUUUAUGGUGAUUUUUCAAAGUUAGUCUACUGCUGCAGUCCAAACUGUUUUUGAGCAAGCUGUUUAUUACCAUUUUUCCCCUAAGCUUUUAAUAAAUGAUAAUUUCAUCCCUACUCAAUUAGCCUCUCAAUUGAACUGAUUUUUCUCAAUUAAUAUUUUAUUAUAUCACCUUAAACUAGUUUACAACCUUUAGGAAUCAGAAUUUCAGCAAUAUACUUUAAUUCCAAGCAUUUUCACAAUUAGGUCCUAAAAAUCAAUUUCUAUUGAAAUUACCUAAUAAAAUCAUAUCAUAAAACAAAUUAAAGCUUUAAUUUCAUUCUAUUUCAUCAUAAAAUUACAGCACUCAACCAUGGUGACUUUCAAUUUCAUCCAUGAAAUCAAAAAUUAAUGACUUUAAUAGUAGGACCUAGUUGUAAAAGUCUUAGAAACACAAAAAUUACAAGAAAAAGGCAAGGAUUAACUCACUUGGUGCAAAAAUUAUGAAAUACCAGCUUAGAGAACCCUCCUAUGGCGAUUUUAGCUGCUGGAAUUGAAGAGAAAUGAAGAGAAAUCUAGAUAUUUCCUAUUUAGUCCUAGCUUUAUUUAGUUAAUUUUGCAAUAUUCCAAUUUUACCCUUAAUUUAUCAAUUUUUCUGCUGAUUUCAUACCCUUGCCGUCCAGCCCAAAUAACUUUUGGGUCUAAUUUCCUUUUAAAUCCUUUCUCAUUAGACUCUUAAGCUAUUUAAUCAUUUUAGCAACUUUUACACCUAUUAUAAUUUAGUCCUUUUUAUUUAAUUGACUACCCAAACAUUAAAAUUUCCUAACGAAAUUUUAAUACCACACUAAUAACAUUUCAUAAAUAUUUAAAAAAUUAUUUUCGACUCGCUUUUUCAAGAUAGAGGUCCCUAUAUCUUGUUUUUACCCAAUUUCUUCAAUAAUUUCUUUUUCUAACUAACCACUAAAUCAGUAAAAUUUUUCUAUCAAUAUUUUUAUACGAUUUUCCUAUCAUAUCAAUUUUCAUGCAAAAAUAUUGAAAUAAAUUUCUCUUUAAAUCGGAUUUGUGGUUACGAAACCACUGUUCCGAUAACUUUGAAUUUAGGCCAUUACAUUAUGUACGCAAAACAUGAAAGACAAAAACAUAAAAUAUAUAAUAGUGAGAUGUGAAAUUAACUUUAUUUAUUUAUUCAUCAUUCAAAUACAUAGAAAACCGUUAGAUGUUUACUACAAUAUGAGUAUAUUUCCCAACACAAUUCUAACUUGUUUAAGUUAAGCAAGUGAAAGAGUAGGAAUGAAGGAAUAUAAUACAUAAAGUUUUAUGAUAGAUUUAGGUUUUAUUUUAAAUUUGUUAAAAAUUUAAUUUUUUUAGAUGAAUUAAAUUUUGUUUUGGUUUUAAUUUUUAAAAAUUGGAUUUGAAUUUAAUUUUAUUGUUUGAGUUUGAGUAAUUUUAUUAUAAUUGUAGAGUCUUAACAUACAAUGAAAUUAAUCAACAAACUAAGUUUAUCUCCUUUACUUCUUAAAUAUAUUGUAAAAAAAAGGAAAAAAAGAGUGAGGAAAAUAAAGAAAAUGAAAUAGUAUAGGGAUUAGAUGUGCAAUUUAAUUAAAAAAAUUUGUUCAGAAUGAUAAUUUAACGUGGUAGUUAAUAGCUUAGUGACCAAAAUGUUGCAAAUUGUUAUUAUUAGUGACCAUUUUGUAACAAACUAAAGUUUGAUAACAAAAACAUAAUUUAAACCAUACAUAAUUGACUAUUUCUAUAGUUUACCCAUUUUUAUUUUCCAAAUUUUAAGUUUUUUUUAUUAAUUUUUAUAUUAAGGUAUACAAAUAUGAAAAUACCUUAUAAUAUUUAUUAAUUAUUUAAAAUGUGGUAUUUUAGUACUUUUAUUUGUUAAGUUGGUGAUACAACUCACUCACAUACUUAAAUAAUAGGACGAAUGUACUUGAGAAGUCUUUUACUAUUGAAAUCGAAUCAAAUUUGUCUCUCUAUUAUCAAAUAAAUCAAUUUAGUCCUAUUACUAAAAAGAAUCAAAUAAAUCUAAAUUUCAAUAAAUUUAUCAUUUAUUGUGCAAUAAUUGACAUUUACGAUUAACAUGAUUAAUAUUUUGAAUAUUUUUAUGGUAUUGCAAAUGGAAUUUUUUGUUUAAAGUUAAACCGGAGAUGAAAAAAUAGCUUUCAUUCAUUUUUUUAAACAUUAUAUGUUAACUCUGGUAUACUUUGGCCUUAUUUGAUAUUUUUUAAUAGUAAAAUGAUUAAAUUAAUUCAUUUAAUAAUAAAAUGACUAAUUUAAUCAUGUCCAUAUAAUAGAGGGACUUCUUAGGCAAAUUUACUUAAACAAUAGUUGAUACAUAGAAAUAUGAUCUGGAUGAAAAAAUAUGUAAAAUAUUAUUUCAAAUUGAAAUAGUAAAAUUAAAUAUUUAAGAUGUUUGGUGGUUUAGAUUUAAAUAUCAUUAUUUGUAUGUUUUUCCUAAGUGCAAAUUUUGUUUUAUAAAUUUUAUAUAAAAGUAUGAAAAUACAAAAAUAUUUAUUACAUAAUAUUUAUUAAUGGUUUAAAAGUUAUUUUUUAAUACUUUCACUUAUUGAAUCAGUAUUGAGUUUACUUACGACACUAAUUCAACUCGACAUCACAUCAGUAACACACUUAUUAAUGAGUAUUAGAUUGUUAUAGGUAAAAAUACAACUUAUGUAAAAAUAUUAUUUAUUAAACUUUUAUCUUAAAAGUUGUGCUCAACGAAGUCAUUCCAUCAUCAAAGAGAGUGGGAAAAAGAUUUGUUUCGAUUUACGUUGGUGAUGAGCAUGAAAUUGCAGAGGGGAGCCGUUUCAUUUUAUUAAGAAGUUUGUUUUGUUUUUAUUUUUUUGUUAUUCAUCUUUUUUAUCGUCUCUAUCCGCUGUUUAGUUUUAUUUCUUCAAGUUUGAUAUCUAAUGCAUCGACCCACUUAAGGUGAGUUUAGAUGGACGGUGCAUUUACCUACGGUUAGUGUAAAAACAACGGUGGCGAUGAGAUUAGAUAUUAUAGCGAUACUGUAACAUGAGAUAAAAAAUAAGCUAAACGCACCGCACUGCACCCAAUCGUUCAUCCAAACUAAGCCAAUUAAAUUUAAGGAGGGUGAGGCAGUGUAACGGUCACUUCUCAAGAUAUUAAUAUCAUAAGCUAAUUUUUUGUUAAAAAAUAAUUAAAACUUUCAUGAAAAUGAUUAAAAAUUUAAAUAUUAUUUAUUCGAAAUCAAAUAAUAACAUAAUAAUGUUUUAUUUAAAAUAAUAAUAAGUUAAAUAAGAUAUUCUCAUAAACUUUAUUAUAUUUAUAUACUAAUAUGAAAUAAUCAUAAACUUUUAAAAUUAUCACAAAUCUAUUAUAAAAAAAAUAUCAUCACAAUUUCACAAACCUCAUUUAUUUAAUAAAAAUAUUUUUAAUAUUAUUUUUAUUAUCGUGACUGGUAGUAGUAGAAAAAGGAUUCCACUGUUUUCCCAGCGAGUUUCUUCUCAAUUUCUUCCAAUUUCUCAUCUUCUUCGCUCUCCCUCGCUUUGUAAGGAAGGGGGGGGGGACUAAUCUUUCUUCCUUUGGGUGCUUUCUUUCUCUUUCUUCCACCGGAGAACGCAUAAAAAAACCCAAAACCCAAAGGCUCAAAACGAGUCAGCACAGAAAGAAAAACAACAAUUUAUAUACAGUGUGACCCGCCACGAGACUUGCAUGGGACAAUCAAGAGAUACCCACUUGGUAAAAUGCUCAACAACCUCGAAACUUUCCAUUUAUCGUCUCUAUUUCUGGACAUUUUUUUUAAAGUUGCCAAUGUACUUUUUUUAGCAUGGUUGGUUUCAGGCAUGGUGUUCAUUGUUAUUAUAGUGUACUGUUAGAAACAAUAAUAGGAAAAGUUCUUUAGGUGGCGGUGGCUGUUUUCAAGUCAACCUUUUGAUCUUGUUAAACAAUGAAAUAUAUUUGAUGUUGUAAAGAUGGGAUUUUAUUCUUUCAAAAAAAAAAAUUACAUUGUUCACGCUGUCCUAGUUAAACUGUGGGAUUAUAAAUGUUUGGUUUUUGGUUUAUAUCAUAUGCUCAAAUGCACUUCUGUUAUUGAAGUAAUAUACAUGAUGUUGAAUACCUAAUGCUUGUGCAGAGGUUCCGUGUUGUUUAAUUGAAUUAUUUGAUUGUAAUCAAAGCUUUUUUCAACUUCAUUUUAUUUGUAUUGAUUAUUUGCUUGUUAUUAAGUGGCCAAUGAUAUUUCGAAAUUCUUAUAGGGUGUUGCCAUGUUUGUACAGGACAAGAUAUGUGAUAUAUGUGGUGAUGUUGGUUUUGAGGAACUAAUUAGAAGCUGUUCUCAAUGCACCAUGGGACGCCAUCUGUAAGUUAUCAAUCGAUUACUCUCUCAAGGCUUUGCUUGUUUGGGAGAUAUAAAUGAAUAAGGAAGAAAGAAUGUUUUAAUCUAAUAGUUAAGUGAUAAAGUAGGAAAAUUGCUAUGAAACCUACCAAUAAGAGUAAAAUAUGUUCCAUUCUUCCAAACAUGCUAAGCCUUAUAUGUUCUCAAUGCACCAUUGGAUGUCAUUUCUAAGAUAACCAUCGGUUGAUCUUAAAGCUUUUGCCUGGUCGGGAGGAGAACAGAUAAGGAAGAAAGAAUGUUUAAUCUAAUAGUUAUGUGAUAAAGUAGGAAAAUGGCGUUGGAACCUAACAAUUAAGUAAAAUAUAUUCCAUUCUUGCAAACAAGCAAAGUCUUUUAUGUUUGAUAUGCUUUUAUUUCCUUUUGUGUUUUUAUGUUAUUUCAUGAUUGUUUGGUUUCCUUUUCCUAACUUUACCAAUUACAUUUCAGAAUCAGCUGCAUCUGAUUCUGAAACUACUAUCAAGUAUCACCCUAAAUUACUUGCCUGGCUUAGAAUAAUAACAUCUUAAACUAAUUGCUUCAUGUGUAGUUAUAUAUUAUAUUUAUUCAACUCUCAGUUCUGAAUCUGAUAUGUUUUCUUUUCUUUCUUUUUCUUUGGAAGCUAUUGCAUGAGGGUUGUAGUGAGGGAUGACUUGGAAGAUUGGAUAUGUGAAGGAUGCCUUUCGAAGAAUGAUAUAAAUUCUCUGAAUUCUGGCCAGGCAGAAAAUGUUUUGGAUUCCUCUACAAAAAUUUAUUUUGACUUAUGGGGACAGGUUCCACGUAAAAGGCAAAAAGCAAUUGAAACUGGGAAAGUGAAGUUCCUUCCUACAGAGGAAGUCAUUAAGCUAUCAUCCGGCUUACCAUUACCAAAAAGGGCACUUCCUUCAAAUAGUAACUCAGGGUCAAAACCUGUGCCCGCAAACUUCACUCUAUCUCCAUCAAAGAGGGUGUUUAUGGGAUCCAAAUACGCUGGCCCUUGUUAUAACCCAAUAAAGGUAAGAAGAAGUCCUACUUUUCUACAGUUAGGAUCUGAGAACGUUCUUAGAGGCCGAGGUGGGCAGAUCAGUUCAUCUAUUAGGCAUCAACAUUCAGUUGAAAGGCCAAACAAGUCAGAAGGUGAUAAAUUCACUGACUUUUUGCUAUUUCUUUUGUUUUUGCAUAAACUUUGUCUUGAGAAUGUUGAAAUAUGUAAAGAUGAAAGAAGUUCCACAUGGUGUGUUUAUGUAUAUUAGAUGUAAUCAUGUAAAAGCCUUUAAUUUUACUUUUCUAUCAAGCUGCUGGAGUAGGUUCUUCAGGAUACAGCAAGAUAAACAUUGUGAUUGACUAGGUGUGUUUUCGAGUUGGUUGGUCGAAAUCAUGAUAUAUAUAUUUUGAAUGAAAUCAUGAUAUAUUUUGAGUUUUUGCUGGAGUCAAUACUACACGAUUUCAAUUUUUUGUUAUUCUUUAUGAUACCUUAUGUCUUAAAUCAAGUUUGUUUAUUUUCCUAAAGUUUCAGCUUUGAUAAAAAUGUAGGUUUCUUUUCCUGUUGGGAAAAUGAGAAAUAAAGCACUUGAACUUUAUGUUAAUUUUAUUUUCAAGAAACAAACACUUGUAUAGGCAUUGUUGGCAGGUUUGGCAUAGGAAUGAAAAAAAAUGGUGCCCUUGCAUUUUAUUUUGCAUGAAUAAUAGGCCUAAUUCUCAUCCUAGGAAUUAGCAGGUAUGAUACAGUCUCCUCUAUCUCUCCAAGUUUCUACUACUAAGUAGUACGUCUAAUAGAAUUGAAUCUGAUCAAGCUGAACAAAGCCCUAUGUUGCUAGUAACUAAUGCCUCAAAAUAAAAAUGUUAAUGAGCAAAAAAAGGGCAGCUUACUAUAGGCAUUAGCACAUUAGAAGGAUUGCAGCUAGCUGACCUUUCUUGAUAUCAUAUCAUUUUCUUGUGUAUUACAGCACCUUAUAUGGGUCUCUCUUAGUAAUGUUGACUUCUAUGCCCCAAUGCAGAAGAUGAAGAAAAGGCUUCUCGGACACCUUCAAAGCAAUAUGGUAGUAAUGAAGAGCCGGUAUCUUCUGUUAUGGCUGCUAAUGAAGUGACGGGUGAUGUUGAUUCUAAAGCAACGGACACAAUGAAAGAGACGUUGUCUAUUGCCAAUGCAGGCAAGAAAUUUUCUCAAUUGAUAUCAUUUUGACAUGUUUUUUAGUUUAUGUGUUUUUCGUUAAAUUAAAACAAUAAAUCCAAGAUUUGCUUUGGAAAAGUUUUAUUGUUAUAAAGGUGAAAAUCUUUUGUUCCAAACUUCUAUGAUAGUGGCUGUAAAGUUAUGAUCUUAUGUAUUAUACCUAUUACCUUGUAAUUAGGAUUCAGUUUCUAAUACUCAUCUCAUCAAUAUGACUUCCAUGUAACUGUAUUUUGAGCUUAAUUUUUACUGGAAUUUACUUGUAUGCCAGACCUUUUUACGUGAUAAUAUUUCCGGUCUUAGCGAAUCAAUGUUUGAGCUUAGUUUUCAAUCUGCAUGGUGCUACAUGAUAAGAAGCAUUGAUAUUUCAAGUAAAUAAAGUGGUCCAAAUUGAUUUUUAUAAAGCUACUGUUGCUGUAGUCUGUUAUUUGAGUUUAUCCUUCACUUAUAUUGCAUUUGUCAGCUACUUGAUUAACAUUAUGGUCUUAGCUUCUUGUGGCAAAUUAUCUGCUCUUAUUGUAUGUUAUUUUUUCAGUAGAAAGAGCCGAUCUUGUUCCCAACAAAGAGAAUGCUUGCAAAGGGAAGAUAUCGGAUACCAUCCUACCUAAUAAAGAGCUCACAGUGCUUCAUGCCAAGACCGAGGAUGCUAUGAGAUCCAGCCGACCUUCGCCAUCAAGGCUUCAUACAACUAUUAUGAGUUCAGGCAAGUUAAUUCUAAACUUGAUUUUCUAAUUUUGUAUGGCAUCUAUCAUCCAGGUUUUAUCAUUUUCAGGUUAUGAUGGUGAUAUUGUUUAUAUUGAAACUUUUUCUAGUUGAUCAAUAUUUGACAUGCUCUUUAAACAAACUCCUUCUCAGGUCAAAACAUUCAUGGUGCUGCUGAACCUGAGAACUCCGAUGUCCCGAAAACAGAAACCUGGAGUCGACUUAAGGUUUCCUUAUAUCGACCACAUGCUCCUUCUCUACAUCCUACCUGGAUGUAAGUUAGCAUGCUGUUUCCCGAUAUUGCACGCACAACAUUCUUUCUUAUUAUAUUCCCAAAAUUUCAACCUGUUGAGAAUUCUGUCAAGAUAAUUCAUAUAAUAGAACAAUUGCAUGGAUUUCUUGAGGAUUAAUUACUUUGACCUAUAGUUGUUUAAAAGGCUUUUAAACAAGCAUUCAUCAUUCUCAAUAAUGCUGUUAUUCUUAGCAUAUCUAUGCUUAUGACAUCAAAACUCUAAAGCAGUCUGUCUCAGUUUACCUAUAUUGCUUGAAACUAUGUUUACUCAGACUCAGAUGUGUCAGAUACGGGUUUGCGAUUUUCUAUGUAUUUGGAGAGUCGUAUCCUCAUAGCUCAUGUCCAAAACUCAGGUACUUUAGAGAAAAAUAAAGUCUGAACAACAGAAGCCUGAAAACUUCGUAAGGUUCUAUUCUACAUAUGUAUUCUAGCAUGCAAUUUGCAUGUAGAGUUUGCAUUCAUUGCUACUUUCAGUAUGUUUUAUUUCACAGUAUUGACUUUUCCCCUCCUCUUUUAGGGGAGGUUUCAAAUUCUUCAAUACCACGGGUGAGUUGUAUGGUGAUUUCCUGGCUCUACCACCAUGCAGAGUCCAUCGUAAAGCAUAUGAGUUUUCGAAGAAAAUGCCUGCAGUUCUUCAGGUUAAUCUGCUUCAACAGUGGCACCUUCACUCUCAUAUACUCCAGAAUGGUUGUUUAGAUCUUCAUGACAUUGCCUUAUACUUUUUUCCAGU